rnacentral:snRNA from 1 species
GGAUGUGAUGGUGAUCUGGCUGCAACAUUGAUUGCCAGAGUUGAUUCAGCUGGUCUGGCUGGCUAGGCAGGUAUCUCCCUCCUCCCUUGCCACUCCAUGUGUGUCCACCCUGAAGUACUGCGCUAGGUCUAAAAGGAUGAAGACCUUCCCUGAUAAAGGAGGACCAUUCAUUAGUCCACGUAGCUGCACUCUCCCACUAGAACCUCCACACAAGCUCUCAAGAAUUGGCACAGCAACUGGACCAAUACAAUCACAUUGCUAUAAAAAUAAGCUUAAACAGAUUUUCAAGU